CGGGUGAGUAACACGUAUCCAACCUGCCGUCUACUCUUGGCCAGCCUUCUGAAAGGAAGAUUAAUCCAGGAUGGCAUCAUGAGUUCACAUGUCCGCAUGAUUAAAGGUAUUUUCCGGUAGACGAUGGGGAUGCGUUCCAUUAGAUAGUAGGCGGGGUAACGGCCCACCUAGUCAACGAUGGAUAGGGGUUCUGAGAGGAAGGUCCCCCACAUUGGAACUGAGACACGGUCCAA
rnacentral:rRNA from 1 species